UACCAGCACCCCGAGUGGUCGGGACGAUUAUUGGGCCUAAAGCAUCCGUAGCCGGUUUUACAAGUCCUCCGUUAAAUCCAACUGCUUAACAGAUGGGCUGCGGAGGAUACUAUAGAGCUAGGAGGCGGGAGAGGCAAGCGGUACUUAGUGGGUAGGGGUAAAAUCCGUUGAUCCAUUGAAGACCACCAGUGGCGAAGGCGGCUUGCCAGAACGCACUCGACGGUGAGGGAUGAAAGCUGGGGGAGCAA
rnacentral:rRNA from 1 species